AUUGAACGCUGGCGGCAGGCCUAACACAUGCAAGUCGAGCGAGCGGCGGACGGGUGAGUAAUGUCGGGGAAAAUGCCUGAUGUAGGGGGAUAACUACUGGAAAAGGUAACUAAUAACGCAUACCAAGAGAUGUGACCAAAUGGGAUUAGCUAGUAGGUGGGGGAAGGCUCAACUAGGGUACGCUCCCUAGCUGGUCUGAUAGGAUGACCAGCAACACUGGAACUUAGACUCGGUCCAGCCUCCUACGGGAGGUAGCAGUGGGGAAUAUUGCACAAUGGGCGGAAGCCUGAUGCAGCCAUGCCGCGUGUAUGACGAAGGCCUUCGGGUUGUAAAGUACUUUCAGCGGGGAGGCGUUACCCGCAGAAGAAGCACCGGCUAACGCCGUGCCAGCAGCCGCGGUAAUAC
rnacentral:rRNA from 1 species